UAGGUUAAUGCGGUUUCAAAUCAUUUUUGACGAUUUUUGGUGAUUGCAUCGAAAUCUCAUCUAUUACGUCAUUUUCGAAACUAUACGAAUUUUGAUUGGCUAAAUCGGACGUUGGGAGAAUUUGCUAUGGAGUGGUGAUUUUGUGGCUACACCGAGAUCAAAGAUUUUUCAACUUGUGGUUUUUCGACAACAUCAUUGCGACAUUAACAAUAUCUUCAAACGUGACCGUUGUUCCCUUGAACACUUACAGUUUUGAGUAAGAAAAUCGCCAAAAACUAAGAUUCGUCAACGUCCAUGUUUAGCUUGUCACGUCACACUCAUUAUCAUCAGCUGUUGAGCACCUUGUCAAAGAAGUCGGCACAUGGAAAUCACAAUGGAAAGGAGGAUUUUGCAUACAUUUUGAGAAUUUGUAUUCACUGGGUUUUUUUAAUGCUUCCAAGUGACUUAACAUGUAGGAAGUCUGCAUUAUCAUGAUUUUAAGAUGAAUGAGAAACAAUGGCUACUUCCAAUACAACAGCACAUUUGAUAAAAUGAAUAAGACACAAGGACUGCACUUGUCAUUCUAAGGAAGAUCAACAAAUGAAACAGGAUAACAAGGAUAUUAUUUUCAUAUUAGAUUCCUGUACAUGAGAUAUAAAGAGAAAAUGAAUUUUCCUGAAAAGACUCUUUACUUAUACAUAUGUGUGACAAAAUGAAUGGAAUCAAGACUGUUUUAACUGUGCUAAAAGGAAUACAAAUUAGAAGUUAAUUGACUGUAUUAAAAAUAAGUGAGAAAAAAAUUUGCUGUAUGAAAAAGCAGGUUCAACAAAAGGAAAUAAGUUGAAAUGAAUGAAUAACUAACUGCAAUGAUUCUUGAACAUGUGUUUAAUUCAUGGUCAUUAAAGGAAAAAUUUAUAAGAAAGUGGAAUACAUAAAGUAUGUGAUAUUGUGUCCUAAUUAUCAUCACUGAGGAGGGGAUGUUUCACAGAACUUUUACUUCAUAAAUGUGUCACUGUGUACACAUUGUGAUUUCAUUCGGCGGAUAAAGUAUAUUUAGCUGUG